GGACAGUCCAUGUCCUUACAACAGCAGGUAGAAGUCUGAUGUCCCUUUAUACCACAGGCUGGACAGUCCAUGUCCUUACAACAGGCUGGACAGUCCAUGUCCUUACAACAGGCUGGACAGUCCAUGUCCUUACAACAGGCUGGACAGUCCAUGUCCUUACAACAGCAGGUAGAAGUCUGAUGUCCCUUUAUACCACAGGCUGGACAGUCCAUGUCCUUACAACAGGCUGGACAGUCCAUGUCCUUACAACAGCAGGUAGAAGUCUGAUGUCCCUUUAUACCACAGGCUGGACAGUCCAUGUCCUUACAACAGGCUGGACAGUCCAUGUCCUUACAACAGGCUGGACAGUCCAUGUCCUUACAACAGGCUGGACAGUCCAUGUCCUUACAACAGGCUGGACAGUCCAUGUCCUUACAACAGGAUGGACAGUCCAUGUCCUUACAACAGGCUGGACAGUCCAUGUCCUUACAACAGGCUGGACAGUCCAUGUCCUUACAACAGGCUGGACAGUCCAUGUCCUUACAACAGGCUGGACAGUCCAUGUCCUUACAACAGGCUGGACAGUCCAUGUCCUUACAACAGGCUGGACAGUCCAUGUCCUUACAACAGGAUGGACAGUCCAUGUCCUUACAACAGCAGGUAGAAGUCUGAUGUCCCUUUAUACCACAGGCUGGACAGUCCAUGUCCUUACAACAGGCUGGACAGUCCAUCUCCUUACAACAGGCUGGACAGUCCAUGUCCUUACAACAGGCUGGACAGUCCAUGUCCUUACAACAGCAGGUAGAAGUCUAAUGUCCCUUUUUGGGAACCCACUAAGUUACUUAUGAACUCAAUCUGAACCUUUAAGUAUUAACUAGUGGUUCUGGUGAAACAUGUCCUUUCAGUAUUAACUAGUGGUUCUGGUGAAACAGGUCCUUUAAGUAUUAACUAGUGGUUCUGGUGAAACAUGUCCUUUCAGUAUUAACUAGUGGUUCUGGUGAAACAGGUCCUUUAAGUAUUAACUAGUGGUUCUGGUGAAACAUGUCCUUUAAGUAUUAACUAGUGGUUCUGGUGAAACAGGUCCUUUAAGUAUUAACUAGUGGUUCUGGUGAAACAGGUCAUUUCAGUAUUAACUAGUGGUUCUGGUGAAACAGGUCCUUUAAGUAUCUUCACAACAUCCCCAUACAUCUUAUUACCUGUUCUGUCUGGAUGUAACAGGCUGCCUAGUAAAUUAAAUGUCUUUGGCCCCAUUACACAUGAAAAAACUAUAAGUACAAUGUUGUCCUCAUCAAUGUAACUUACAAUAACAAAAUAUUCAAACCGUUCUGUAUAUGAGGUCCUCUGGUCAAUACUUUCAUCAAACUGUUCAAUGUUUCCAACAAUUCACACCAUGUUUUUCAUUUCUCAAUAGGCUCAUGAUUGUCCUCAACCACAGCAAUAUUUUCCUCAGUC
ensembl:lncRNA